AAAAAGAGACCCCUCUUUCCCUUGCAAUGAAAUCAAACUUACGAAUAAGGCUAGAAGGGAGUAGGGGGGCAAAUGAAAGAACAAACAAAAUAAAGAGAGAGAUUCCAACAUCUAACACAUUGUCUUCCAAUGUCUUCCAAUGAAUUUUGUACAUCAACCUUUGCAGCGCCAUACUGUGAUGUACCAUCGGUUUCCUUCUCCAUUGUCUCUAUUGACAGGUGGUAAACUGGAAUCGCUGAUUCAGCCCACCCAGCAUCGUGCAAGCAACUUCAAGCAACUUUCCUCUUCGAGGCUUGGCGGCAGUAGCAGUCUUCGCCGGUGCCAGCUUCUUGCUAGCCGGAGGAACCGCAGACGCCUUGACCUCCUCUUCAGGCGGAAACAACACAGAAUCAAUCCCCUGAACGGAGAUCCGGCCAUCAGUAUAAAUGUCCGGAUCAAACAAAUAAGCCGAGCCCUCGCCCUGCCCGAACUUCACAGACCCAUCAGCCUCCUUUGCCACCACCUUCUGCGGAAUCCUCAGCGUCUCAUACUGAACCUUUCCAAAUCGCCUCACAGCAUUGUACAUGCUCUCCUCAGUCUGGUACUCCGGAAUCAAAUGGUAGUACAUUAUCUGCUCCGGCGCACCAGGCUCGCUCAGCUGAUCCGCCGUCAGCCUCGCCAUCGCAUCAUCGUGCGG
rnacentral:misc_RNA from 1 species